rnacentral:tRNA from 1 species
UUAAAUUUAGUUAAUAUAUAAUUUUAAUUUGUCAUAUUAAAGUAAUUUAAAAAAUAAUUUAAU